rnacentral:rRNA from 1 species
CCCGUGUUGCCCGAACCUAUGUUGCCUCGGCGGGCCCCGCGCCCGCCGACGGCCCCCCUGAACGCUGUCUGAAGUUGCAGUCUGAGACCUAUAACGAAAUUAGUUAAAACUUUCAACAACGGAUCUCUUGGUUCCGGCAUCGAUGAAGAACGCAGCGAAAUGCGAUAACUAAUGUGAAUUGCAGAAUUCAGUGAAUCAUCGAGUCUUUGAACGCACAUUGCGCCUUCUGGUAUUCCGGAGGGCAUGCCUGUCCGAGCGUCAUUGCUGCCCUCAAGCCCGGCUUGUGUGUUGGGCCCCGUCCCCCCCGCCGGGGGGACGGGCCCGAAAGGCAGCGGCGGCACCGCGUCCGGUCCUCGAGCGUAUGGGGCUUCGUCACCCGCUCUAGUAGGCCCGGCCGGCGCCAGCCGACCCCCAACCUUUAAUUAUCUCAGGUUGACCUCGGAUCAGGUAGGGAUACCCGCUAAACUUAAGCAUAUCAAUAAGCGGAGGA